AUGAAUUGUAGAAAUCCAGGGGGUCACCAGAGUCGCGUGCUGGUCCAGGUGAACUGUGCUAUGGCACAGUUUCAGAGAGAGUCAAGAGAUGAGAGAGAAACAGUGACAGGCCUUGAGUCACCCAUCAUCCACAACCCGGGCCACAGCGUGCCCCUCCCCAAGGAGGUCUUCCGGGAUCCGUACUGGUUUAAGAAGCGGAUGGAGCUUUUCAUUGCUGCCGAGGGCAUUCAUACGGGCCAGUUUGUGUAUUGCGGCAAGAAGGCCCAGCUCAACGUUGGCAGUGUGCUCCCUGUGGGCACCGUGCCUGAGGGUAUGAUCGUGGGCUGCCUGGAGGAGAAACCUGGAGGCCGUAGCAAGCUGUCCUGGGCAUCAGGGAACUAUGGCACUGCUAUCUCCCACAACCCUGAGACCAAGAAGACCCGUGUGAAGCUGCCCCCUGGCUCCAAGAAGGUUAUCUCCUCAGCCAACAGAGCUGUGGUUGGUGUGGUGGCUGGAGGUGGCCGAACUGACAAACCCAUCUUGAAGGCUUGCCAAGCCUACCACAAAUAUAAGGCAAAGAGGAACUGGUGGCCACGAGUAUGGGAUGUGGCCAUGAACCCUAUGGAGCAUCCUUUUGGAGGUGCAACCACCAGCACGUCGGCAUCCCCUCCACCAUCUCAGAGAUGACCCUGCUGGCUGCAAAAUGGGUCUCAUUGCUGCCUGCCAGAUUGGACGUCUCUGGGGAACCAAGACUGUGCAGGAGAAAGAGAACUAGUGCUCAGGGGCUCAAUAAAGUUUGUCUUUAUGCCAAAAAAAAA